AUUGAACGCUGGCGGAAUGCUUUACACAUGCAAGUCGAGCGGCAGCACGGGGGCAACCCUGGUGGCGAGCGGCGAACGGGUGAGUAAUACAUCGGAACAUGCCCAGUCGUGGGGGAUAACACUUCGAAAGAAGUGCUAAUACCGCAUACGUCCUGAGGGAGAAAGCGGGGGAUCUUCGGACCUCGCGCGAUUGGAGUGGCCGAUGUCAGAUUAGCUAGUUGGUGGGGUAAAGGCCUACCAAGGCAACGAUCUGUAGCUGGUCUGAGAGGAUGAUCAGCCACACUGGGACGGAGACACGGCCCAGACUCCUACGGGAGGCAGCAGUGGGGAAUUUUGGAAAAUGGGGGCAACCCUGAUCCAGCCAUUCCGCGUGAGUGAAGAAGGCCUUCGGGUUGUAAAGCUCUUUCGGCAGGAACGAAACGGCGAGCUCUAACAUAGCUUGCUAAUGACGGUACCUGAAGAAGAAGCACCGGCUAACUACGUGCCAGCCGCCGCAGUAAAAC
rnacentral:rRNA from 1 species